AAGGGAAUGUGGUAUAUGCCACAGCAGCCCCCGCUACUGUAAUCAUAGACGAAUGAUUUGUAGGUAUAUGGUGGAACCACCGUAAAACUAAUCUAUUUAUGUUCUAAAAUCCUAAUUUUUAAGGAAUUAUGUACAUAUAUAGAUUUUACUUGAGCUGGUUUCAAUGAGUAUAUCUUUAACGCCACUCAUUUUUAAGGUGAUUUCUAUAGUAAUUAUCUUAAUUUGGGGAAGGUAAAUCAUGAGGAUGAAGUGAAAGCCAGGAUAUCU
rnacentral:ncRNA from 2 species